rnacentral:rRNA from 1 species
ACGGGAGGCAGCAGUUGGGGAUAUUGCACAAUGGAGGAAACUCUGAUGCAGCAACGCCGCGUGAGGGAAGAAGGUUUUCGUAUUGUAAACCUCUGUUUUUAGUGAAGAAACAAAUGACGGUAGCUAAAGAGGAAGCCACGGCUAACUACGUGCCAGCAGCCGCGGUAAUACGUAGGUGGCAAGCGUUGUCCGGAUUUACUGGGUGUAAAGGGUGCGCAGGCGGGACUGCAAGUUGGAUGUGAAAUACCGAGGAUUAAACUAGGAGCUGAAUCCAAAACUGUGGUUGUUGAGUGGAGUAGAGGUAAGCGGAAUUCCGAGUGUAGCGGUGAAAUGCGUAGAUAUUCGGAGGAAAACCAGUGGCGAAGGCGGCUUACUGGGCUCUAACUGACGCUGAGGCACGAAAGUGUGGGUAGCAAACAGGAUUAGAUACCCUGGUA